rnacentral:rRNA from 1 species
CCCCGAGCUUAACUUGGGAACUGCGUUUUGAACUGNUAAGCUAGAGUAUGUCAGAGGGGGGUAGAAUNCCACGUGUAGCAGUGAAAUGCGUAGAGAUGUGGAGGAAUACCGAUGGCGAAGGCAGCCCCCUGGGAUAAUACUGACGUUCAUGCUNGAAAGCGUGGGUAGCAAACAGGAUUAGAUACCCUGGUAGUCCACGCCCUAAACGAUGUCAAUUAGCUGUUGGGGCACUNGAUGCCUUAGUAGCGAAGCUAACGCGUGAAAUUGACCGCCUGGGGAGUACGGUCGCAAGAUUAAAACUCAAAGGAAUUGACGGGGACCCGCACAAGCGGUGGAUGAUGUGGAUUAAUUCGAUGCAACGCGAAGAACCUUACCUGGUCUUGACAUGUACGGAAUCUUUCAGAGACGGAAGAGUGCCUUCGGGAGCCGUAACACAGGUGCUGCAUGGCUGUCGUCAGCUCGUGUCGUGAGAUGUUGGGUUAAGUCCCGCAACGAGCGCAACCCUUGUCAUUAGUUGCCAUCAUUUAGUUGGGCACUCUAAUGAGACUGCCGGUGACAAACCGGAGGAAGGUGGGGAUGACGUCAAGUCCUCAUGGCCCUUAUGACCAGGGCUUCACACGUCAUACAAUGGUCGGUACAGAGGGUAGCCAAGCCGCGAGGUGGAGCCAAUCUCAGAAAACCGAUCGUAGUCCGGAUUGCACUCUGCAACUCGAGUGCAUGAAGUCGGAAUCGCUAGUAAUCGCAGGUCAGCAUACUGCGGUGAAUACGUUCCCGGGUCUUGUACACACCGCCCG